UACGUAGGGGGCGAGCGUUGUCCGGAUUUAUUGGGCGUAAAGAGCUCGUAGGCGGUUCGAUAAGUCAGGUGUAAAAACUCCAGGCUCAACUUGGAGAGGCCACCUGAUACUGUCGUGACUAGAGUCCGGUAGAGGAGCACGGAAUUCCUGGUGUAACGGUGAAAUGCGCAGAUAUCAGGAGGAACACCAGCGGCGAAGGCGGUGCUCUGGGCCGGAACUGACGCUGAGGAGCGAAAGCGUGGGGAGCAAACAGG
rnacentral:rRNA from 1 species